CUAAACAAACGAUGUUUAAGGCUUGCAGCACAUUUGUCUCGAUAUUCGUAUUCUUUCUUCAACUUAGAAAUAUAAAGGAAUAAUUCUAAAACAAUUUUGUUCAUUUCAAAUUGGCCGACGAUAAUUCGAAUGUAGACUGUCCACAACACUCAAUUUAGACUGAUUUCAAC